rnacentral:ncRNA from 1 species
CGUGGAUAUAUGAGAGAUUAUGAUUUCUUUCUCAUCCUCCAUUGUCUCUAAUCCAUUAAUCAUAACUAUGGGAUAAAAAUCAAUCCUUUUAGAUGACAUCGCGAUGAUCAGUAGCUGAUCCGCCGGAGGAGGAGGGGCUUGCUAGUUGGUGAGGUAAUAGCUUACCAAGGCGAUGAUCAGUAGCUGGUCCGAGAGGAUGAUCAGCCACACUGGGACUGAGACACGGCCCAGACUCCUACGGGAGGCAG